GUAUGGUUAAGUGACUAAGCGUACACGGUGGAUGCCUAGGCAAUCAGAGGCGAAGAAGGACGUGCUAAUCUGCGAAAAGCUUGGAUGAGUUGAUAAGAAGCGUUUAAUCCAAGAUAUCCGAAUGGGGAAACCCAGUAGAUGAAGAAUCUACUAUCAAUAGAUGAAUACAUAGUCUGUUGAGGCAAACCGGGAGAACUGAAACAUCUAAGUACCCCGAGGAAAACGAAAUCAACCGAGAUUUUGUCAGUAGCGGCGAGCGAAAGCGAAAGAGCCAGCAAGUGAUAGCAGCAAAGACAGAAGAAUUGGCUGGGAAGCCAAGCGACACAGGGUGAUAGCCCCGUAUUUUAAGUUUAUGUUGUGGUACUAAACUUGCAACAAGUAGGGCGGGACACGAGAAAUCCUGUUUGAAGAUGGGGGGACCAUCCUCCAAGGCUAAAUACUCCUGAUUGACCGAUAGUGAACCAGUACUGUGAAGGAAAGGCGAAAAGAACCCCAGUGAGGGGAGUGAAAUAGAACCUGAAACCGUGUACGUACAAGCAGUGGGAGCCCGAAAGGGUGACUGCGUACCUUUUGUAUAAUGGGUCAGCGACUUAUAUUUUGUAGCGAGGUUAACUGAAUAAGGGAGCCGAAGGGAAACCGAGUCUUAACUGGGCGGCUAGUUGCAAGGUAUAGACCCGAAACCCGGUGAUCUAGCCAUGGGCAGGUUGAAGGUUGGGUAACACUAACUGGAGGACCGAACCGACUAAUGUUGAAAAAUUAGCGGAUGACUUGUGGCUGGGGGUGAAAGGCCAAUCAAACCGGGAGAUAGCUGGUUCUCCCCGAAAUCUAUUUAGGUAGAGCCUUAUGUGAAUACCUUCGGGGGUAGAGCACUGUUUCGGCUAGGGGUCCAUCCCGGAUUACCAACCCGAUGCAAACUGCGAAUACCGAAGAGUAAUGCAUAGGAGACACACGGUGGGUGCUAACGUCCAUCGUGGAGAGGGAAACAACCCAGACCGCCAGCUAAGGUCCCAAAGUCUAUAUUAAGUGGGAAACGAAGUGGGAAGGCUUAGACAGCUAGGAUGUUGGCUUAGAAGCAGCCAUCAUUUAAAGAAAGCGUAAUAGCUCACUAGUCGAGUCGGCCUGCGCGGAAGAUGUAACGGGGCUAAAAUAUAGCACCGAAGCUGCGGCAUCAGGCGUAUCACUAAUACGCCUUACGAUUAACAACAUCGAAUGAAGUGAAACGGAAUGAGAUGUUGGUCAAGCACCCAACACGUUGAGUUGGCAUAAAGUGCGGAUAGAAAUCAGAGGAAUAUUUGUGAUACGCCUGUUGGGUAGGGGAGCGUUGUGUAAGUCGAUGAAGGUGUAUUGAGAAGUAUGCUGGAGAUAUCACAAGUGCGAAUGCUGACAUAAGUAACGAUAAAACGAGUGAAAAACUCGUUCGCCGGAAGACCAAGGGUUCCUGUCCAACGUUAAUCGGGGCAGGGUGAGUCGGCCCCUAAGGCGAGGCUGAAAAGCGUAGUCGAUGGGAAACGGGUUAAUAUUCCCGUACUUGGUAAAGCUGCGAUGUGGGGACGGAGAAGGUUAGGUUAGCAGACUGUUGGAUGUCUGUUUAAGUUGGUAGGUGGGAAGUUUAGGCAAAUCCGGACUUCCAUAACACUGAGAGAUGAUGACGAGUUUCUACGGAAAUGAAGUAACUGAUACCACGCUUCCAGGAAAAGCCACUAAGCGAAAGGCUUUACUAAACCGUACUGAAAACCGACACAGGUGGUCAGGUAGAGAAUACUCAGGCGCUUGAGAGAACUCGGGUGAAGGAACUAGGCAAAAUAGCACCGUAACUUCGGGAGAAGGUGCGCUGGCGUAGGUUGUAAGAGUAUACCUCCGAAGGCUGAACCAGUCGAAGAUACCAGCUGGCUGCAACUGUUUAUUAAAAACACAGCACUCUGCAAACACGAAAGUGGACGUAUAGGGUGUGAUGCCUGCCCGGUGCUGGAAGGUUAAUUGAUGGUGUUAUCGAAAGAGAAGCUCCUGAUCGAAGCCCCAGUAAACGGCGGCCGUAACUAUAACGGUCCUAAGGUAGCGAAAUUCCUUGUCGGGUAAGUUCCGACCUGCACGAAUGGCAUAAUGAUGGCCAGGCUGUCUCCACCCGAGACUCAGUGAAAUUGAAAUCGCCGUGAAGAUGCGGUGUACCCGCGGCUAGACGGAAAGACCCCGUGAACCUUUACUAUAGCUUGACACUGAACAUUGAAUUUUGAUGUGUAGGAUAGGUGGGAGACUAAGAAGCAGGCACGCCAGUGCUUGUGGAGUCGACCUUGAAAUACCACCCUUUAACGUUUGAUGUUCUAACGAAGAUUACGAAACGUGGUCUCGGACAGUGUCUGGUGGGUAGUUUGACUGGGGCGGUCUCCUCCCAAAGCGUAACGGAGGAGCACGAAGGUUUGCUAAUCACGGUCGGACAUCGUGAGGUUAGUGCAAUGGUAUAAGCAAGCUUAACUGCGAGACAGACAAGUCGAGCAGGUGCGAAAGCAGGUCAUAGUGAUCCGGUGGUUCUGAAUGGAAGGGCCAUCGCUCAACGGAUAAAAGGUACUCCGGGGAUAACAGGCUGAUACCGCCCAAGAGUUCAUAUCGACGGCGGUGUUUGGCACCUCGAUGUCGGCUCAUCACAUCCUGGGGCUGAAGUAGGUCCCAAGGGUAUGGCUGUUCGCCAUUUAAAGUGGUACGCGAGCUGGGUUUAGAACGUCGUGAGACAGUUCGGUCCCUAUCUGCCGUGGGCGUUGGAGAAUUGAGAGGGGCUGCUCCUAGUACGAGAGGACCGGAGUGGACGCAUCACUGGUGUACCAGUUGUCUCGCCAGAGGCAUUGCUGGGUAGCUAAAUGCGGAAGAGAUAAGUGCUGAAAGCAUCUAAGCACGAAACUCGCCUUAAGAUGAGUUCUCCCACACAAUAAGUGUGUAAGGGUUGUUGGAGACUACGACGUAGAUAGGCGUGGUGUGUAAGCGGUGUGAGCCGUUGAGCUAACACGUACUAAUUGCCCGAGAGGCUUAACUAUACAACCUCAAGCGUUUUUGAA
rnacentral:rRNA from 1 species